CGUGCCCUCUCACCAGGCAGAGAAAUUACUCCUCCUAACCUCUCCCUUUGGAAGGAGCCAUUGAGAAAUAGAGAUAAGUCGUUGCCAAUUUCAAGCUAAUAGGAGAAUAGAAGUUCCUGUUUCUCAGGGUGGCAGGAUCUUAGAGAGAGGAAGGAAAUCAUUCCAUCCCCAUCCCACAUCUGUGAGAGAAGAAAUCAUCUACAAACCUAUUUCUCCUUUAAUUCUCAGUGAAUGGAUAGGAGCAAGCCCCCACUGGAUAUGCUGAGGGGCCUGCUUUGCAGAAGAAUCAUUUUCAGUUUCUCUUUCAUCCUGGCACACGGACAUCAGCGCAUUUAGAAGAGGAAACAGAGAUCCAUGAAGACGAGGGACUUGUCAGUGGUGUCUAAUACAGGACUGGAGCCUCAGUCUACUGCCUUCCAUUCCGUUCAUCUCCUCCCAGUGCCUAGCACAUAUUUAAAAGCUGCUCUUCCACAAACGCUUCAAUUAACAACAAAAUGGAGCGACAAGGACAACACUGCAGUUGCUACUGUGGCUGACCACAGGCCUGACUGGAUAACCGUGGAGAGAAGCUCCAAUCCCCCUUAGAUGGUAAACAGCUAGACGCACCUGCACCAGGACUACGUUCCACCUCCAGAAACCACUUUCUCUGCCGGUCUGU